UGGGGAAUUUUGGACAAUGGGCGAAAGCCUGAUCCAGCCAUGCCGCGUGAGUGAAGAAGGCCUUCGGGUUGUAAAGCUCUUUUAGUCGGAAAGAAAGAGUUGCAAUGAAUAAUUGUGAUUUAUGACGGUACCGACAGAAAAAGCACCGGCUAACUACGUGCCAGCAGCCGCGGUAAUACGUAGGGUGCGAGCGUUAAUCGGAAUUACUGGGCGUAAAGGGUGCACAGGCGGUCUUGCAAGUCAGAUGUGAAAGCCCCGGGCUUAACCUGGGAAUUGCGUUUGAAACUACAAGACUAGAGUGCAGCAGAGGGGAGUGGAAUUCCAUGUGUAGCAGUGAAAUGCGUAGAGAUGUGGAAGAACACCGAUGGCGAAGGCAGCUCCCUGGGUUGACACUGACGCUCAUGCACGAAAGCGUGGGGAGCAAACA
rnacentral:rRNA from 1 species